UACGGAGGAUGCAAGCGUUAUCCGGAAUGAUUGGGCGUAAAGCGUCCGCAGGUGGCUGUGUAAGUCUGCUGUUAAAUAGUGAGGCUCAACCUCAUAAAGGCAGUGGAAACUACACGGCUAGAGUGCGUUCGGGGCAGAGGGAAUUCCUGGUGUAGCGGUGAAAUGCGUAGAGAUCAGGAAGAACACCGGUGGCGAAAGCGCUCUGCUAGGCCGCAACUGACGCUGAGGGACGAAAGCUAGGGGAGCGAAUGGG
rnacentral:rRNA from 1 species